rnacentral:rRNA from 1 species
GGACCCGCACAAGCAGUGGAGCAUGUGGUUUAAUUCGAAGAUACGCGCAGAACCUUACCAACACUUGACAUGUUCGUCGCGAAACUAAGAGAUUAGUUUUUUCAGUUAGGCUGGACGAAACACAGGUGCUGCAUGGCUGUCGUCAGCUCGUGUCGUGAGAUGUUGGUUAAGUCCCGCAACGAGCGCAACCCUCGUCCUAUGUUGCCAGCACGUAAUGGUGGGAACUCAUGGGAUACUGCCGGGGUCAACUCGGAGGAAGGUGGGGAUGACGUCAAAUCAUCAUGCCCCUUAUGUCUUGGGCUUCACGCAUGCUACAAUGGCCGGUACAGAGGGCUGCAAUACCGCAAGGUGGAGCGAA